GACGAAUGCUGGCGGCGUGCUUAACACAUGCAAGUCGAACGGUGAAGGGGAGCUUGCUCCCUGGAUCAGUGGCGAACGGGUGAGUAACACGUGGGCAACCUGCCCCUCACUUCGGGAUAACCAUCCGAAAGGAUGGCUAAUACCGGAUACGAGGCCUGGAGGCAUCUCCGGGUGUGGAAAGUUUUUCGGUGAGGGAUGGGCCCGCGGCCUAUCAGCUUGUUGGUGAGGUAAUGGCUCACCAAGGCGAAGACGGGUAGCCGGCCUGAGAGGGCGACCGGCCACACUGGGACAGAGACACGGCCCAGACUCCUACGGGAGGCAGCAGUGGGGAAUAUUGCACAAUGGGCGAAAGCCUGAUGCAGCGACGCCGCGUGAGGGAUGAAGGCCUUCGGGUUGUAAACCUCUUUCAGUAGGGACGAAGCGCAAGUGACGGUACCUAAAGAAGAAGCACCGGCUAACUACGUGCCAGCCGCCGCAGUAA
rnacentral:rRNA from 1 species